AAACAGUGGGAUAUACAUCUCUUCUAUUUUACAAGCCGGAGUGCCAGUGCUACUACCAUUUCAUUCUGCAGCUCCCAGGCACAAAACUCAACCUUGAUAACACUGCUU